GGUCACAAAUAGUUGGACACAAUUGAAGUACUGAACUGAACUGAUUUUCAUUAGUGAAAAACAUAAACUGAGAAAUGCACAUUAGAAUGAUGUAUAUCAUAACUACAUUUAUUGAGAAUGUAUCCCAAUACCAAAUGGCAAAUUUCAACAAUGCAAAAACCACAAUUACUUUUGCACCAACCUAAUAA